ensembl:lncRNA
AUCCACCCGCACCACCUUGCCUCCCAAGACCUCCCCGUGAGAAGCGGGGAAGGGACUGGAAUAACGAGAGGGAGACAGAGAUGCAGAGAGAGAGAGUAACCGGCUGUUUUAGGGUAUCCUCUCCUGCCCCUUCAAUACGAUGUGGUCGAAGUUAUGGGAGUCCCUGCUGCCUGAGUGCAGAAGCUAAGGUCCAUCGAGGCGACGCUUCGAUAUGUUUACAUUUCCUGUCCCCGCCAACGGAAUGCCCAUGGUGUCAGUCGAGGCGUGUGGAGUCGUCUGCAUGCUUAUGUUGCCUUUACAGCCCAGUGUACUUUGUUGCACUUUUAGUUGGAGGUCACGUGGCAGUACCUGUGAUGCCCUUUGCCACAUUGGCACCCAUGGUGGAGGACCCAAGAGGCCAAACCAUUGAAAGACGACCAUCGGUUUUAAUUGUAUUCAUGAGGGAUUUGUCCUAUUUAUUGUUCUAUUUCCGGUUAUUUCCUACUAAAUAGUCCAGCAUGUUUGACACCUAUUCCAAGCAGUUUUGGUCUUUCACUAGUUUUUCUAUAUAUUUUUAAUUGUUUCUUUUAGGGUAAUUUAAAUAGUACUCAACAAGUAGCAACACAUUUAACUCCUGAUUAGGGCAACAGUAUGGACAGUAAAGAAAGAUAAAUGGCCUUAUAUCGCACAAUUAUGAAAGCACACAGGAUGCUACAGCCUGUUUAAUCCUUUUUACACACCUGCACUUCACAGAUGUCCAGUCAGUACAGUGAACAUGUGUUACACACGCAUGCAUACCAUAGCAGUUUAUUACAAUAGCACAAUUUAAGCAUUAUGCUUUUACAAUUUACGAUGGGGCCAAUUUUUACAUUAUAUGUCAGAGGUUUGGGUCUCAUACCAAACGUGAUGGAGAGAUGGAUGAACACCUCUUAGAGUAGGGGUCAAACAUGGGGUUGAGCCGUGGCUACCACACUAUUCAGUAUUGCUAAGACGGGACAAUAGAGAUCGAAGUAACAACGCUGGCAGGGGUUCAAAAGACAAAUUGCUUUAAGAAAAAGCUGCUUAAUUCCACGCUGCAUAUUAUAAUAAGUGGUCAUCCAGCAUGGGACCAGCACCUGUGACUCAAGUGCCAAGUGUCUUCCCCAGCCUCCUGCAGAGUGUACUGUAUUCCUC